CCUACGGGCGGCUGCAGUGGGGAAUUUUGGACAAUGGGCGCAAGCCUGAUCCAGCCAUUCCGCGUGAGUGAAGAAGGCCUUCGGGUUGUAAAGCUCUUUCGCAAGGGAAGAAAACUUAUCCUCUAACAUAGGAUGAGGUUGACGGUACCUUGAUAAGAAGCACCGGCUAACUACGUGCCAGCAGCCGCGGUAAUACGUAGGGUGUGAGCGUUAAUCGGAAUUGCUGAGGCUGUUUCGUAAGUCGGAUGUUAAAUCCCCGAGCUCAACGUGGGAACUGCGGUUGAAACUACAAGACUAGAAUAGGUCAGAGGGGGGUAGAAUUCCACGUGUAGCAGUGAAAUGCGUAGAGAUGUGGAGGAAUAUCAAUGGCGAAGGCAGCCCCCUGGGAUCAUAUUGACGCUCAUGCACGAAAGCGUGGGGAGCAAACAGGAUUAGAUACCCUUGUAGUC
rnacentral:rRNA from 1 species